UUUCGCAAUGCCCGAAAGGGUGACGAAGCGACGCCGCGUGAGUGAGGAAGGCCUUCGGGUUGUAAAGCUCUGUCAGGAGUUAAGAAAUAUAAGUGUGCUAAUACCAUAUUUAUUUGACGAAGGCUCCAAAGGAAGCCACGGCUAACUCUGUGCCAGCAGCCGCGGUAAUACAGAGGUGGCAAGCGUUGUUCGGAAUUAUUGGGCGUAAAGAGCACGUAGGUGGGUUUGUAAGUCAGAUGUGAAAGCCUUCUGUUCAACGGAAGAAUUGCAUCUGAAACUGCGAGUCUUGAGUGUAGGAGGGGAGAAUGGAACUUCUGGUGGAGCGGUGAAAUGCGUAGAUAUCAGAAGGGACGCCGGCGGCGAAAGCGAUUCUCUGGCCUAUUACUGACACUCAGUGUGCGAAAGCUAGGGGAGCAAACGGGAUUAGAUACCCCGGUAGUCCUAGCCGUAAACGAUGGGCACUAAGUAGAGGGGUUUUA
rnacentral:rRNA from 1 species